GCUGCCGGGUCGGGAACAAAGACAGAGGCAGCAGCGAGGAAAAGCAAGAGGAGACAGAAAAACAAGCAGAUUGGAGGGAGAAAGUUUCGGGGCUUGGCAGCCAAUAAAUUCAUGGUACUACCCACCGAGUUUCCCAAGCAGCCAGGUGUUUGAUGAGAAACCCGCAGGAGCCGCAGUUACAGAAGUGAUUCAACCCGGAUCAACAAUGGCGACAAGGAAGCUGAGUGAAACUCUGCUGUCUCUGUGUCAAACAUCCUGAAGGUUGUCUCUACAACUGGAGCAAGAGUGAAGCAGUGGUGUGUGACGGGCCGAAGGACCUCCAGAGGUCAGAGAGGAACACACAGACACACCUGCACUGCCUCCAGAUGCCCAUGCAGAGACCUGUGGCUUAUGCUGCACAAACCAGCAACAACAGAACGGUCAGAAGUGAUGAGCAAGCUGACAAUCUCACAAAGACCACACCGAGUCACACCUCUCAGUCUGGUGGAAAUGGCAGCGCUCUGAGUGGAGAGCCAGUGACUCACUGCUGCAGCUGACGGCCUGUUGGAAGGGCCGCAGCGCCAAAGGAGGGAGUCAAUAACCGAGGUGCGCUCACAGAUUUAAAAAUGCAUGAGCAGGUCAAACAGUGGGGCUCCGAAUGCGUGUUACUGGAGAGAUGACUCAUGGCUGUCUGCAGCACAACUGGGAGCUUGACUUUGCCACCAUCUGGCCGUCUGACCCGUUCGCUCUCUCUGCUCGCUGCAGAAGGACAAAAUAUUUCUGCUAGAAACUCAGAAACUGAUAGCAUUACUUUUUAUUCUGCGGCCAACGUUUCUCCCAGAGUGUGGCUCGAAUGAUUUGUAGACCUUAAAGCAGGGCAUCAAACUCAUUUUCAUUUUGUGCUGUAUCAAACAUCUGAAUGUUCUUAAAGGGCCGGUAGUGUCAGGAUGUAUGGAUAAAACCAACUAGUCAAAACUCAAGGAACGGGGGCCAAAUCUGGCCGCCGCAGCUUUUUCAGUGGCCCAAAUUACAUCUAUGAUUUCCCCCAGUUUUUCACAAAUCUGCAAAAUUCACACAAAAUCAACAAAUCCCCAGAUUUUUUCAGAUUUUUCAGAUUUUUCUUAAAAUUGGGCGAAAACAUUAAGUUUAAGUGAAUGCUGUCUCAGCCUGACUUGAUGUCAAGUCAUAGUCCGUGACCAAUACGGCAAGUAAUAAAAAGUUACAUUUAGCAUCCUACUUUACCGCAAACAUCAUAAAAAUUCCUCACAAAUAUUCCUAACUUAGCACCACGAAAUCUAUGAAUUUGAUUGCAAAAAAUAACACAAAAACAAUCACGAAACUGUGGAUGAACUGACCAGUGUGAAAGGAUGUUAAAUGUGAUUUAAUUUUAAGAAAAUCUUGUUGAAUACUGAAACAGCUAUUUAUUGAAAUGUAGUGGGUUUUAUCAACACGUUCUGGCCCUUUAAGAACAUUCAGGUCCAGGAUUUUGUGAAUGUUUUUUUUUUUUUUAAUGCUCCCAGUUAUAAACAAUAACAUGUUGAGGUUUUAUAACAACUGAAGGCAACAUAUUAUGCAAUAAAAUGCCAUUAUGGACCUGGAAAAUUCACAA